rnacentral:rRNA from 1 species
UCUGGUUGAUCCUGCCAGUAGUCAUAUGCUUGUCUCAAAGAUUAAGCCAUGCAUGUCUAAGUAUAAAUAGUAUACAGUGAAACUGCGAAUGGCUCAUUAAAAGCGUUAUAGUUUAUUUGAUAAUUGACAAUUACAUGGAUAACCGUGGUAAUUCUAGAGCUAAUACAUGCUUAAACGCCCGACUUUAUGGAAGGGUGGUAUUUAUUAGACUGAAGCCAAUAUUCCUUGUGUCUAUUGCGGUGAUUCAUAAUAACUGAUCGAAUCUCUUUUUGAGAUAAAUCAUUCAAGUUUCUGCCCUAUCAGCUUUCGAUGGUAGUGUAUUGGACUACCAUGGCAGUAACGGGUAACGAAGAAUUAGGGUUCGAUUUCGGAGAGGGAGCAUGAGAAACGGCUACCACAUCUAAGGAAGGCAGCAGGCGCGUAAAUUACCCAAUCCUGGCUCAGGGAGGUAGUGACAAGAAAUAGCAAACCGGGAACCUCAUGGUUUCACGGUAUUGCAAUGAGAACAAUUUAAAACCCUUAGCGAGAAUCAAGUGGAGGACAAGUCUGGUGCCAGCACCCGCGGUAAUUCCAGCUCCACUAGCGUAUAUUAAAGUUGUUGCAGUUAAAAAGCUCGUAGUUGAACCUCUGUCUGGGGCUAGUUUUGGCUUUGGUCAGGCUAGUUCUAGGCAUCCGCCUACAAGACUUAGAGGGCAUUCAGUUGUUCACUAGGAGGAGUAGGCAUUUUACUUUGAAAAAAUUAGAGUGUUUAAGGCAGGCAAUCGCCCGCAUAUAUUAGCAUGGAAUAAUAGAAUAGGACACUUUUCCAUUUCGUUGGUUAUUGGAAUCGUGUAAUGAUUAAUAGGGACAGUUGUGGGCAUUUGUAUUUAAUUGUCAGAGGUGAAAUUCUUGGAUUUAUUAAAGACAAACUAACGCGAAAGCAUUUGCCAAGGAUGUUUUCAUUAAUCAAGAACGAAAGUUAGGGGAUCAAAGACGAUCAGAUACCGUCCUAGUCUUAACUAUAAACUAUUCCGACUCAAUGUUUGACUGGCUUAUAUAACCAGUUGAGCGUUGUAUGAGAAAUCAAAGUCUUUAGGUUCUGGGGGGAGUAUGGUUGCAAAGCUGAAACUUAAAGGAAUUGACGGAAGAGCACAACCAGGAGUGGAUUCUGCGGCUUAAUUUGACUCAACACGGGGAAACUUACCAGGUUAAAACAAUAGUGGGAUUGACAGUUUGAGAGCGCUUUCUUGAUUGGUUGGGUGGUGGUGCAUGGCCGUUCCUAGUUGGUGGAGUGAUUUGUCUGCUUAAUUGCGUUAACGAACGAGACCUUAACCUGCUUACUAGACUGGCGAUCAUCAAUCGUUAGCUCUUCUUAGAGGGAC